rnacentral:misc_RNA from 1 species
GGCGUUUUUGGUUAUCAAUUUCGUAGAUUUCUCACUUCUUCAGUGGAUCAGGAUUCGAUUUUGGUCAUUUUGAGGUUCUAACUGCUGUGGUCAUAUUGUAGGAUGGUUUAAAGAAUUAUUGGGAAGGUUAUAUAUAUAUAACUAUGGGCAGCAGUGAGAUGGAUAAACCAGCGAAGGAGAAAGAGGCAAAGGCCCUGGCUAGCGCCAGUGCGCAGGAGCCGACUUCAACUACCAGCACUGGAACUGUAAAUCCUGAUUGGACAGGAUUUCAGGCAUAUUCUCCUAUACCUCCA